UUAGGCAAAUUUGACAGAACACCGAAUUUGUAGUAUAAAUAUGAAUUCUUUAGAAAAUUGCUUCCAUAUUUUUGGCACAUUUCAUAUACUAUGUAAUGGUGUUUGCAAAGUUUCUAUCACAUUUUUUGGGAUAUGACCUUAUCGGAUAAUAUUUCAAAUCUGUACUUCCACUAGGCAAUACGUCAGCAGGAAGACUGUAACUAACAUCUUCGUCAGGAUUUGGUAUGGCAUAUAAAUCUGGAUGAGCAGCAAUUGUUCUAGGUACAGACAUGUUUUGAUGAGGCACAAUGUCGGCAGGAAAAGCGUAUGAAUCAUCUGGCAGAAUUUGCAAAAACCAAGUUUCAAAGAUUAUGACUGGGCUUAUGAACAAUGGAUUCACGAUGUUGGACUGCUACUCCUAAGAAAAAGGAGUUCUGAAUGCACAAAAAAUUCAUUGUAAAUUGAAUGGUACCUAUAUGGAAAAGGGGGUUUUGGUUUGCCGAAAAAUCCCGGAACCUUUUUAUAUAGUUGUUUCAAUCAAAAAAGUGACUUGAGUAAAAGUUGCUGGAAAUAGGAUUUCAAUUAAAAAAAAAGUGUCUUCUGUGCCACCCUGAACAUCAAAAUUAAAAUUUGAAUACAGAAAUCAAUUCCUCGUUAAAAAAUAAUGGGGGCUUACAUUUUUGUUUUUGCACGUUCAACAAUCUGGCCUUAAAACUACAAUGUACAAUAAUUUGAUGUUUACCCCAGUGUGCAGCGUCGAACGUCAACAUGAAAUUACUCCUUGAUGGUGUUGUUAUCACAAUUUUCAGGAACAGGUUAUGAAUAAAAACACAUAUUUAAAUUGUAUUAUAUUUUCGAAUAUAUUUUACACUUAUUAUACUGAAAUGUAUACAUGGCGAUUGUCUUCAACUUCUAAAUAUUAGGGGUACGUAUUUGUAAUGUACUUAAAAAAACAAAUCAUAUCCGAAUAUUUUGUCGCACAAUAGCAUCACCAAUUCAAUAUCACAACGUUAUUAAUUAAAAAGACUAAAAUAAGCACAUUGGGUUUUAUUUAUAUAAGUUAACAAAAGUAUUAUUUUUUAACUGAAUCAUUUGAAUGUAGUCAAAAUCAUUAUGUGGAAUACUAACAGUUUCCAUAUCUGUUUAAUCUAUUUUUUUAGCCAUUUUUCUAUCCAAUGAGGUGUUGGUGCUAUUUUUAUUUCUAUGAUUAGCAUGAUUUGCGUAAUCUACACCACUAUAAAUACCCUAGGGCUUCUUCAUAUAUAAUGAAAUUUUUACUAAAAUUUUUUGAAGGUUAGUAACACAAACAAACAAAGCAACCACCUGAUCGUAUUUACCCGUUGUGUCUAACACAGAGUUAGCAAUAUAGAUAUAGAGAGCGUCAUGUAAGAGAAUUUAACUAUUGUAAAAGGAAGAAAAAGUAUCGCUUUACCACUCUUUAUCUUGCUCUAGGCGCUUUUUAAAUCAAAGCUUGUUAUUGUUCCUCUCUACAGUUACCACCAAUCGAAACUUCGAAGUCAUCUGGAUCUAUUUAGAAUAGAGUAGAAAGAGAUAUAUCUCGUAUACCGUUCUUUAUCUAUAUCAACAAUUCGUGCCAUUUUAAACUCGCUGCCAUAGCUCGCUCUCUUUAUUUUUUAUAUUAACUCUAUGGUUUUUAAAAAACUGAGAGGAAUUAUUUGAAUUUCAGUUGGCAAACCUUUACAUUACUGAUUGGUUAGAUCUAUGGACGGCAGAGGAAGACGAACAAUCUGUAUAUAUUAACAAUGUCCGUCAAAAUGCGUUAAAUGAAAGUGACGUCACAUUAGCAUCUGGGUAAAUUUUAAAGGUAGCGCCAAAUGCUAUUUACCCUGAAGACAAUUCUUCACACUUUCGUACAGCGCCUUUUUUCAGCUUAAAGAGAGAAUGCUACUUCUUUCUACCCUCUAUAGUUGAAUCAAAGACAGUUUCACUUAUUUUUGACAUAUGAUUGCAAAUAAAAAGAGUCUGUUUUAUUUCUUGUGUGCUUGUGAUUUCUUGUUAUAGUUUUAUUAAAAUAUUUGAACCGUUUUUAGCACUAAUUUAAACAUCGACUCGGAUUCUACUCAUAGUACUGAAUGUAAUUUGCACUCAAAAUUAAAUUUUAUUAAUACUAGUAUUUUAUGUCUUUGCGCCCAAUUCAGUUACUUUUUUAGCGAUUUCUAAUGGGGUUUCUAAAAAUGCUCCUCUUAGUUAUGGGUGAUAGAAAGAAGGAAGAGUCUAUUAUGGGAGAAAAGUUGAAACAGUGUCAAGUUGUAUACGAUAUAUGAUAGUUCCAAAACCUUCCAGAAUGGCGCUGGUGUAGACGAAGGGCAUGGUAUAAAUUCAGCCAUUGUAGAUAAAUUGAUGUACGAAGAGGCAAAAAAUUUAAUAUUAUUUUUAGUCAUUAGUUGAUUCUUAAAAAUUUCAACGACAUGCUGUAUACAGAAUAAUGUAGUAAAUAUAACCUAAAUGAAAUUUACCUUGAUGCUAAUGUGGCGUCGCCACGCUUAUUUAACGCAUUUCAACGAACACUUUUCAUAUACACAGGUUGUACUCUUUCUCUGUACUCUCUAUACUUCUAGUAAAAACACUAAUAAUUUUCCAACCUUUUUGAUAGCCUUCAUACUUGUAUUGUUCAUCCACAGAUAUAUCCAUUAACAAAGUACCAAAUUACCUAUCGGUAGUGGUAUCGUAGGUAGUGGUUUCGUAGGUAGGGUCAUGAUGUAAAGACUACAAGGUGUGCUAUAGCGCACCAGCUGGGAAGCAGCCAAUGAGAAUUCGCUCCCAAAACGACGCGCCAAUUUGAAACAUUUGAAUUGAAUACAUGAUGUAAAGACUACAAGGAGUGCUAUUGCGCACCAGCUGGGAAGCAGCAAAUGAAAAUUCGCUCCCAAAAAGAUGCUCAGAACGAGUCGAAAAUGAGCCCUCGGGAAGACACACCUUGUAGUCUUUACAUCAUGGGUAGGGUUUAGGUUAAUAGAAAAUCGAAUUUGAAACUAAUAUUAAAUUAGAAUAUUAGUAGAAUUGGCAUUUCUCAUUUCAAUAUUCAAAUGAUUUUCACAGGUAUAAGAUAUAACUCCUAAUUUAAAAUAGACAAUAUUUUUGUAGUGAACAUAAAAUCUCAUUAUUUUAUUAAUGUACAAUACUAGUUUUUAGAAUCAAUGUAUAAUAUACAAAAUAAUAGCUUUUAACAAUUUGUAUCUAUUUUUCAUUUUAAGGCAAUAAACCUAUUAUAUAACAAAAUCGUUAACAGGAAAUAUAUUUUUAUAUAUUAUCACAGUAAUACAUAAUAAAGAAUUUAUUCAUGUAUAUAAGUAUCUUAUGUUAUAACAGUGUCACAACAAUAGAAUAUAAUGUAAAUGUAUAACAGACACAAUUAAAAAAUAUUAAAUAUUUGCUGGUAGAUUUUUUUCUAGUAUUUUGAUCUUCUUUUGGGGUAACCUAUUUUCAUAUUUUUAUAAGUGUGAUAAAUUGUAGAAUAAAUUGUUUUGUAGUGUAGUAUUCGUAAAACUUUUUCUCAGUUGAAGACCGAACAUUACAAAAAGAAAACUU